CCCAGAGUCUUUAAACUGAAUCAACAGAACGCUCCACCAUUACACAAAUAAAGACUUUGAGCCAGAGCUAGAUAAACCAAACCAGUGAAUUUUCAAUUUUAAUCUGCUAAUUGCAAGCUAUGCAAUGUCUUCAAAUUUUCCAUUUACAGUUCUGUUCUCAAAUAAAGAUCAUCAAUUCAAAGUAAAAAAAAAAAAUUGUUUCAAUUGCUGGAAAAAAAAAUUCUGAAAUUGUGAGACUUAACAGCGAGAAGCAACG
rnacentral:misc_RNA from 1 species